UACGUAGGGGGCCAGCGUUGUCCGGAAUCAUUGGGCGUAAAGCGCGCGUAGGCGGCCAGAUAAGUCCGGUGUGAAAGUCAAAGGCUCAACCUUUGAAUGCCGCUGGAAACUGCCUGGCUUGAGUCCGGAAGAGGCAAGUGGAAUUCCCGGUGUAGCGGUGAAAUGCGCAGAAUGAUCGGGAGGAACACCAAUUGGCGAAGGCAGCUUGCUGGGACGGUACUGACGCUGAGGCGCGAAAGGCGUGGGGAGCAAACAGG
rnacentral:rRNA from 1 species